ACCCUUCUAAAAAAGCACUGGCUGGGCCUGUGCCCCGUGGCCCGGUGAGUUGUCGUGGAAGGGCAGAGCAAAGGCAUCGCUGUUGGGUGAAGUGGCAGCUUGUGCUGCUGGCUUCAAUCGGCGCUGGCACAGCU